rnacentral:rRNA from 1 species
UACGAAGGGGGCUAGCGUUGCUCGGAAUCACUGGGCGUAAAGGGUGCGUAGGCGGGUUUUUAAGUCAGAGGUGAAAUCCUGGAGCUCAACUCCAGAACUGCCUUUGAUACUGAAGAUCUUGAGUUCGGGAGAGGUGAGUGGAACUGCGAGUGUAGAGGUGAAAUUCGUAGAUAUUCGCAAGAACACCAGUGGCGAAGGCGGCUCACUGGCCCGAUACUGACGCUGAGGCACGAAAGCGUGGGGAGCGAACAGG